rnacentral:rRNA from 1 species
UACGUAGGGAGCAAGCGUUGUCCGGAAUCAUUGGGCGUAAAGCGCGCGUAGGCGGCCUCAUAAGUCCGUUGUGAAAGUCAAAGGCUCAACCUUUGAAAGCCGAUGGAUACUGUGAGGCUAGAGUCCGGAAGGAGGCGAGUGGAAUUCCUGGUGUAGCGGUGGAAUGCGCAGAUAUCAGGAGGAACACCAAUAGCGAAGGCAGCUCGCUGGGGACGGUACUGACGCUAAGGCGCGAAAGCGUGGGGAGCGAACGAGG